rnacentral:snoRNA from 15 species
GGAUCGAUGAUGGCACCCUAAUCAGCAUUCCUUGGAAAAGCUGAACAAAAUGAGUGAGAAAUCCCUACCAUCUCCUCUCAUUGAACUGAGGUCC